rnacentral:lncRNA from 1 species
AUGGGACCCACAUAAAGGGAAUUGUGAAUCCCACACAACUUUCACGGUGGAUUGGUAUGUAAGAUUUUGCAGGUGAAAGGUGACGUGGACUACCGCAGGUUAGUUUGGAGUUGACUAGGUUCUUUACGUGGUUGGCCAUAUGUAUGAAUGUUUUGUAGAUCAUCAUCAUCAUCAUCACUAUCAACGAUGGAUUAUUGUAUGAUUAUUAUUGCUACAUUCCUUUUUUGGUAUUGGAAAUUCGAAAAUUAUCUAAUAUAUGGAUGGAUAUACAUAUGGUUAUCUAAAGUGCAUGGUGUACUCUUGGUGUUUUUAAUUAUGAUAAAUUUUGAAUACGAUUGCUGAAAUACAUGCAUUUUGAUAUGUUCAAACAUUAUUCUUAGUGUUUAAAUUACAGCUUGCAUUUCAUUCAAUGAUUGAAAUAAAUCUUGGUGGAUAAUUUAUCGCAUAAUAUUAUUUCCAUGACUUGUGUUAUAUGAUCAAUUUGUAUAAUGUGCAAAAGUGACACGAAUUUUGCAUCAUGUAAAAAUUUGUUUUCAAUUGAUCAAAUAAGAUGAGAUGUGAUAAAUU